rnacentral:rRNA from 1 species
CACGUAGGGUGCGAGCGUUGUCCGGAAUUAUUGGGCGUAAAGAGCUCGUAGGCGGUGUGUCGCGUCGGCCGUGAAAACCUGCAGCUUAACUGUGGGCUUGCGGUCGAUACGGGCAUCACUGGAGUUCGGCAGGGGAGACUGGAAUUCCUGGUGUAGCGGUGAAAUGCGCAGAUAUCAGGAGGAACACCGGGUGGCGAAGGCGGGUCUCUGGGCCGAUACUGACGCUGAGAAGCGAAAGCGUGGGGAGCGAACAGG